rnacentral:rRNA from 1 species
UACGGAGGGAGCUAGCGUUGUUCGGAAUUACUGGGCUUAAAGAGUUCGUAGGCGGCGCAGAAAGUAGGGUGUGAAAGCCCUCGGCUCAACCGAGGAAUUGCGCUCUAAACUACUGUGCUUGAGGAAGCUAGAGGUGAGCGGAACUGAUGGUGGAGCGGUGAAAUGCGUUGAUAUCAUCAGGAACACCGGAGGCGAAGGCGGCUCACUGGGGCUUUUCUGACGCUGAGGAACGAAAGCCAGGGGAGCGAA